GCCGAGAUGGCGGAAUGGUAUACGCUCAGGUCUCAAAAACCUGUGGGAGCAAUCCCGUGAGGGUUCGAUCCCCUCUCUCGGCACUA
rnacentral:tRNA from 1 species